CUAUGCUGGGCCCUUAAGUCUAGCCCAAUGCUCUCUUCUCUUGUAAAAUUGAGAAAACUCCUCCUCCUCUCUUUUCUGCUGUUUCCGGCUGGUACGGCUUCAUGUUUGGAAGAGAAUCUGCUCGCAAAGAGCUUGGAAGCUUAAUCGAAGACCUUCGCCGCCAGAAUCCCAAUUCCGAUCCUCAUUGGGUUCAUGGCAUCAGGUGGG